CCUGGCUCAGGAUGAACGCUAGCGACAGGCUUAACACAUGCAAGUCGAGGGGCAGCGGGGGUAGCAAUACCCGCCGGCGACCGGCGCACGGGUGAGUAACGCGUAUGCAACUUACCUAUCAGAGGGGGAUAACCCGGCGAAAGUCGGACUAAUACCGCAUGAAGCAGGGGUCCCGCAUGGGGAUAUUUGCUAAAGAUUCAUCGCUGAUAGAUAGGCAUGCGUUCCAUUAGGCAGUUGGCGGGGUAACGGCCCACCAAACCGACGAUGGAUAGGGGUUCUGAGAGGAAGGUCCCCCACAUUGGUACUGAGACACGGACCAAACUCCUACGGGAGGCAGCAGUGAGGAAUAUUGGUCAAUGGGCGUAAGCCUGAACCAGCCAAGUCGCGUGAGGGAUGAAGGUUCUAUGGAUCGUAAACCUCUUUUAUAAGGGAAUAAAGUGCGGGACGUGUCCCGUUUUGUAUGUACCUUAUGAAUAAGGAUCGGCUAACUCCGUGCCAGCAGCCGCGGUAAUACGGAGGAUCCGAGCGUUAUCCGGAUUUAUUGGGUUUAAAGGGUGCGUAGGCGGCCUUUUAAGUCAGCGGUGAAAGUCUGUGGCUCAACCAUAGAAUUGCCGUUGAAACUGGGAGGCUUGAGUAUGUUUGAGGCAGGCGGAAUGCGUGGUGUAGCGGUGAAAUGCUUAGAUAUCACGCAGAACCCCGAUUGCGAAGGCAGCCUGCCAAGCCAUGACUGACGCUGAUGCACGAAAGCGUGGGGAUCAAACAGGAUUAGAUACCCUGGUAGUCCACGCAGUAAACGAUGAUCACUAGCUGUUUGCGAUACAGUGUAAGCGGCACAGCGAAAGCGUUAAGUGAUCCACCUGGGGAGUACGCCGGCAACGGUGAAACUCAAAGGAAUUGACGGGGGCCCGCACAAGCGGAGGAACAUGUGGUUUAAUUCGAUGAUACGCGAGGAACCUUACCCGGGUUUGAACGCAUUCGGACCGAGGUGGAAACACCUUUUCUAGCAAUAGCCGUUUGCGAGGUGCUGCAUGGUUGUCGUCAGCUCGUGCCGUGAGGUGUCGGCUUAAGUGCCAUAACGAGCGCAACCCUUGCCACUAGUUACUAACAGGUAAAGCUGAGGACUCUGGUGGGACUGCCAGCGUAAGCUGCGAGGAAGGCGGGGAUGACGUCAAAUCAGCACGGCCCUUACAUCCGGGGCGACACACGUGUUACAAUGGCGUGGACAAAGGGAGGCCACCUGGCGACAGGGAGCGAAUCCCCAAACCACGUCUCAGUUCGGAUCGAAGUCUGCAACCCGACUUCGUGAAGCUGGAUUCGCUAGUAAUCGCGCAUCAGCCAUGGCGCGGUGAAUACGUUCCCGGGCCUUGUACACAC
rnacentral:rRNA from 1 species